UUUUUGCAUACAGGGCAAUGUGGUGUUAAGGCUUGCACCUGGGACUGUGAUAUCGCAGUCCUCAGAUGUGCGUGCCUUCGAGUCGGAUUGCUUGAGAUUGCAGGCCAAAGUGGGUGGUAAACUCCAUCCAAGGCUAAAUACUGGCAUGAGUCCGAUAGUAGACAAGUACCGUGAGGGAAAGUUGAAAAGUACUCUGAAGAGAGAGUAAAUAGUACGUGAAGCCGGUUGCAGGGAAGCUGGUGGAGUCAAGCUUCAUGCUUGAAGAAUUCUUGUCAUGAGUUCAUUGUGGAUUUGCAUGUGGUCAGCCAGCUUGGAAUAAGUUGGGCACAUUCGUGUGCUUCAAGGCAUUCUGGGUAGUUUGUUUGAAGCUGGCCAUUAUGUAUUGCUCAUGAUAAUCUAUUCUUCGCUGCAUAAAUCACAGUCGAUACAGUUGCGCCCGAUGAUUGUCUAACUGUGCUUCGGUAGGCCUUGUGUUUACCGGGUGCAGAAUGGGAGGUACGGCCGUUGAUCCUUAGAUUAACGUGUCUUCGAAGAUAAAGCCGACUUUC
rnacentral:rRNA from 1 species